ACAGCAGUAGCCGCGGGAAUACGUAGGUGGCAAGCGUUGUCCGGAAUUAUUGGGCGUAAAGGGCUCGCAGGCGGUUUCUUAAGUCUGAUGUGAAAGCCCCCGGCUCAACCGAGGAGGGUCAUUGGAAACUGGGAAACUUGAGUGCAGAAGAGGAGAGUGGAAUUCCACGUGUAGCGGUGGAAUGCGUAGAGAUGUGGAGGAACACCAGUGGCGAAGGCGACUCUCUGGUCUGUAACUGACGCUGAGGAGCGAAAGCGUGGGGAGCGAACGGGAUUAGAUACCCCAGUAGUCCCUGUCUCUUAUAC
rnacentral:rRNA from 1 species